rnacentral:rRNA from 1 species
CUGCUGCCUUCCGUAGGAGUCUGGGCCGUGUCUCAGUCCCAAUGUGGCCGGCCAACCUCUCAGUCCGGCUACUGAUCGUCGACUUGGUGGGCCGUUACCCCGCCAACUAUCUAAUCAGACGCGAGGCCAUCUCAGAGCGAUAAAUCUUUGGCAGUCAGAGUCCUGCGACCCAACUGCUUUAUGCGGUAUUAGCAGCUAUUUCUAGCUGUUAUUCCCCACUCCAAGGCAGGUUCCUCACGCGUUA